rnacentral:rRNA from 1 species
GACGAACGCUGGCGGCGUGCUUAACACAUGCAAGUCGAACGGAAAGGCCCCUUUGGGGGUCCUCGAGUGGCGAACGGGUGAGUAACACGUGAGUAACCUGCCCUUUACUUCGGGAUAACUUCAGGAAACUGGGGCUACUACCGGUUAGGAAUCCUUGCUGCAUGGUGGGGGUUGGAAAGCUUCGGCGGUUUUGGGUGGACUCGCGGCUUAUCAGCUUGUUGGUGGGGUAGUGGCUUACCAAGGCUUUGACGGGUAGCCGGACUGCGAGGGUGACCGGCCACAUUGGGACUGAGAGACGGCCGAGACGGCGACGGGUGGACGCAGGGGGGAAGAUUGCACAAGGGGCGGAGGGCUGAUGCAGCAACGCCGCGGGCGGGAAGACGGCCUUGGGGUUGUAAACCGCUUGCAGCAGGGGCGAAGCUUGUGGUGACGGUACCUGCAGAAGAAGCACCGGCUAACUACGUG